UCGAGAAUCUUCCGCAAUGGACGAAAGUCUGACGGAGCGACGCCGCGUGAUGGAUGAAGUCCCUCUGGGACGUAAACAUCUUUUAUGAGGGAGAAAGUUUAUUGAUAGUACCUCACGAAUAAGGGGUUGCUAAACUCGUGCCAGCAGCAGCGGUAAUACGAGUGCCCCGAGCGUUAUCCGGAAUCAUUGGGCGCAAAGGGUGUGUAGGUGGCAUUGUUAGUCACACGUUAAACCCUGGGGCUUAACCCCAGAUCUGCGUGUGAUACGGCAAAGCUAGAGGAUGGCAGGGAUGUAUGGAACUCAUGGAGUAGGGGUGAAAUCCGUUGAUAUCAUGGGGAACACCGAAAGCGAAGGCAGUACAUUGGGCCACUCCUGACACUGAAACACGAAAGCGUAGGUAGCGAAUGGGAUUAGAUACCCACGUAGUCCCUGAGCGGGCUGGCAAGGCGCAU
rnacentral:rRNA from 1 species